CACUUCAGUUCAGAAUGCCUUCCAAAGAAUGAAGCCCAUCCACCCAUGGCUCAGCUAAUGGCGUUCACCGGACCAGGAACCCCGAGACCUGAAGGAGGAGCCGUGCAUCUGGAGGAACACCAUGAGGCUACCUGCCAAGUAUGACUCACUUCCACGAGGAGGGGGGCGCCUUCUUGAAAAUGUAUGAUGCAAUUGUGAUUGGUUCAGUACCUUCAUUGUGUGGAAGUUUGCCUUUCUUAAGACAGACAACCUGUAUGUCUCUAGUUAAUAAAUAAAGCUACUAAGUUAUAGCACAGCUAUUUAGUUAUAGCACGUUGUCUUCCGAGAUUGAAUCACAUGUACAUCCUGUACGAAACAAGAAGGCUGUGAACGUUUUUAUAAAGAUGCUUUCUGACUUCACAGGAUCACCUGGGCAAGGCAUGGGGAACCAGGAUGGACCGAGGCUGAUCACCAAGCUGUUCUGAAACGCCAAAGGCCAGAGAUUAUUAUCUUAGUUUUUUGUUUUUCCUUAUAAGUAGUUCUGAUUUUCAUUCUGUGAUUUGAGGUAAUAUCUUGGGUGAUCCGAGUAGUGAGCUGUUUUUGCCCCUAUUGCUGCUACUAUAGUUUAUACAUUACUCAAUACGUUGACAUGUAAACUUAAGGUUUCAUAUUUGUUACCGCUUUACAAGUGCAAGGGUUUUUGUUACCAGAUGUUUUGACGGAACUAUCACUGUUACCAGACAUUGUGGUGAAACCGUCUUAUUGUUUUCCAGAAUAGGAGCCGUGGCGGAGGGCAGCUAAUGGCGAUCAGUGCUGGAGGACCUGCUGGGGAAGGACAUCCCCCGUGGGGUCGAGACGUCCGUCUCCGAGAUGUGAAGGCUGCAGAGGACCCACCAGGAUCCCCUUGGAGGACAGCAAUGGGACUGCUUGAGGUCUUUGGAAGCACUUCAGUUCAGAAUGCCUUCCAAAGAAUGAAGCCCACCCACCCAUGGCUCAGCUAA
rnacentral:lncRNA from 1 species